UCCAUGGAGCUUUGGCUGUCCCUUUGUUGUGUUAGAGCAAACGUGAACUGUGAACUGUUCUCUGAAGGAAAAAUCUGGCCCUGGCCCAUGGGUCCACCUUAGUUUGUGUCUUUACAGAGAUAGGUCUAUGCAGAUACCCGGCCUGGUUCUUCACCUGUGGAUGCCAAGCUCCUAGGCAUGCACCUGCAUCUAAUCAGAAACAGAGUUUCGACACACGUUAGGUCCCCUGCCACACAAUUUAUCCUUGACUUCUCUGCUGCCUGAUUGAAGAAGAGAACAUCUCUGGAAGGAUAUAUUCUGUCAUUUCUUUCAGCUAUUUUAAACUUAAUCCCUGGAUCAAGGCAGAUAAUUAAAGAACUUCGUGUUUGAACUGUAUCAUUUUGUUCCCUCAGAGAACUGCGUUCUUGAGGACUUCACUUUGCUGUGAGGCCCUAACUUAAGUCCCCUUGGGUGAUCCUGUGAGAAACAACUAUUGGGAACUGAGUUGCUUUACAUAUUAUUCAUGACAUCAGUAUCCUUUCCGAAGAUGCACCAGAGAAACUUCUUUCAGGUCUCCAGUAUCCUGAGCCCCUGGGCACAGCAUUUCCAGAUGUGCAACACCACCAACACCGAGCCCAGCACAUGAUGAGGAAACUGGGUAACUUGACCACAGUUACUCCACAAGGCAGUGAUCCACAAGGAUUUGUCCCCUGGCAUGUGGGGCUAGCAUGACAAUUCCACCGAGGAGGGGAGGCCAAGCCUGACUCCAGUCAAUGUUAAAUUAGGUGUGUACUUGAUAAAUACUAUAAUUUCACUUGAUGUAACUAUAAUAAUGACAAUGAU